GACGAACGCUGGCGGCGUGCUUAACACAUGCAAGUCGAACGAAGUGGCGGACGGGUGAGUAACGCGUAAUCAACCUGCCCUUCAGAGGGGGACACCAGUUGGAAACGACUGCUAAUACCGCAUACUGAAGGAGGGGAUUGCGGCGGAUUAGCUAGUUGGAGGGGUAACGGCCCACCAAGGCGAUGAUCAGUAGCCGGUCUGAGAGGAUGAACCGGCACAUUGGGACUGGGACAAGGCCCAGACUCCUACGGGAGGAAGCAGGGGGGAAUCUUCCGCAAUGGACGAAAGUCUGACGGAGCACCGCCGCGGGAGUGAUGACGGCCUUCGGGUUGUAAAGCUCUGUUAAUCGGGACGCGGUACCGGAAUAGAAAGCCACGGCUAACUACGUGCCAGCAGCCGCGGUAAUAC
rnacentral:rRNA from 1 species